UGUGUUUGAGAGGGAAACAGCCCAGACCGCCAGCUAAGGUCCCUAAUUCGGACUAAGUGGAAUGAAGGAUGUGGAGUUGCGUAAACAGCCAGGAUGUUGGCUUAGAGGCAGCCAUCAUUUAAAGAGUGCGUAAUAGCUCACUGGUCGAGUGAUUCCGCGCCGAAGAUGAUCGGGACUAAGUCCGGAACCGAAGCUGCGGAUUUAUAAUUUAUUAUAAGUGGUAGAAGAGCGUUGUAUACUGGGUUGAAGUCGAAACGAAAGUGACGGUGGACUGUAUACAAGUGACCAUGCAGACAUGAGUAGCGAAAAACCAGGUGAGAAUCCUGGUCACCGAAAGCCUAAGGUUUCCUGGGGAAGGUUCGUCCGCCCAGGGUUAGUCGGCGCCUAAGGCGAGGCCGAAAGGCGUAGUCGAUGGAGAAAAGGUUAAUAUUCCUUUACCACCUUAUCUGAGUGAUGGAGGGACGCAGGAAGCUAGGUUAUCUGCCUGUUGAAAUAGGCGGUCUAAGGUUGUAGGGCGUGAGAUAGGCAAAUCCGUCUCACAUUAAGCCUGAGGACUGGGGACUCGGAGUCUUCGGAUGAAGAGGAUUAACCGAUGCUAUGCUGACGAGAAAAGCUUCUAAACGAUGAAGAUAGGGUGACCGUACUAAAACCGACACAGGUAGGCGAGGCGAGAAGCCUAAGGUGCGCGAGAGAAACCACGUUAAGGAACUCGGCAAAUUAGCCCCGUAACUUCGGAAGAAGGGGUGCCGCAUGAGGUGAUGAGACUUGCUCUCUAAGCUGAUCGCGGUUGCAACAAAGAGGCUCGGGCGACUGUUUAACAAAAACACAGCACUCUGCUAACACGCAAGUGGAUGUAUAGGGUGUGACACGUGACCAAUGCCGAAAGGUUAAACGGAGGGGUUAGCAGCAAUGCGAAGCUCUGAAGUGAAGCCCCGGUGAAUGUCGGCCGUAACUAUAACGGUCCUAAGGUAGCG
rnacentral:rRNA from 1 species